rnacentral:rRNA from 1 species
UACCAGACUCCUACGGGAGGCAGCAGUGGGGGAUAUUGCACAAUGGGGGGAACCCUGAUGCAGCGACGCCGCGUGGGUGAAGGAGCGUUUCGGCGCGUAAAGCCCUGUCGGCGGGGGAGAAGAAAGACGGUACCCGACCAAGAAGCCCCGGCUAACUACGUGCCAGCAGCCGCGGUAAUACGUAGGGGGCGAGCGUUAUCCGGAAUUACUGGGUGUAAAGGGAGCGUAGACGGCGAGGUAAGCCUGAAGUGGAAGCCCGCGGCCCAACCGCGGAACUGCUUUGGGAACUGUUUUGCUGGAGUAUGGGAGGGGUAAGCGGAAUUCCUAGUGUAGCGGUGAAAUGCGUAGAUAUUAGGAGGAACACCAGUGGCGAAGGCGGCUUACUGGACAGUAACUGACGUUGAGGCUCGAAAGCGUGGGGAGCAAACAGGAUUAGAUACCCGUGUA